rnacentral:lncRNA from 1 species
UUCAAAGCCAGCCUGAGAUACAUGAGAGUCUGUCUCAAAAAAGAAAAGAAAAGAAACAAAGCCAGUUAGCUAUCUAAAUUCAGAGCUUGGCUCCUCUGACAGUUACAGUGUUUCAUGUGUCCUGAGGAUGAUUCCCUGCCUGCUGGCUGAACAUUGGGACUAUUUCCUUUUAGAAAUCCUGGCUCUAGGCCACAGCACUGCACGCCUUUAAUCCCAGUACUGGGGAGGCAGAGGCAGGUGGAUCUCUGUGAGUUCCAGGUCAGCCUACAGAGUGAGAUCUAGACAGCCAGGGCUACACAGAGAAACCCUGUCUUGGAAAAAAGCAAAACAAAAGC